rnacentral:sRNA from 1 species
UGUCCAAACGGGUACAACUAAAACUAAAACUAAACAACCCGUUGGAGGCCGAAAGAUCGAGUCGCCGACCAACGCAGUCGCUGGCGGUACAGUGAAGAUUGCUUUAGGAUCAACCUUUGAUGUUGUAAGACUAGAGAUUUCAAUCUAAUUUCCAAAAACUACCUCAAAUAAAUAUGUUUUUUUUAUGAAUUAAACUUGUUCAUCCAUGUUAUAUAGAAUGUAAAAUAAAGAAGUGUGAUUAUUGGGUUUAUGAUGACUUUUUAAGUUUUGUUGUCAGUUUCUUUGGCUAGUUGCUUCAUUACUACAGUUUGCUUGGCCUGGCAAACUGGAAUUUUUUGAGUUGUUUUGUUUUGCUUUGUUUGUCUAAAAGCGCAGAACUACCCCCCACCCCUCAUAGUUGGCCCGCUUCCCCUGCAAAAGGCUUGGCCCAGUUAGCAGUAAAAAAUGCAAAGAGCAGGAGAGUGGCUUAAAACAGGACUGACUGCAUAUUAGGACGCCCAUGCAAUUCAAUCGAGCUGGCUUAUGCAGAUGCAAUGGCUGCACUAGGAAAAAAGUGGUAAACCUUGUAAAACAUUCCAAUUAGAACUAGGAAACUGUGCUGAAAUACUCAUAGUUUUUAAAAUAUUAUUUCCUGAAAUAUAAUUUAGUUGAUUUUUAAUCUCAAUUAGUACUAUUUUUUCGCAGUGACCCAAACUAUUUCUCUUUGUUGGCUUAAUUCGUGUGGGUCGCGUGGCCAAUUCGAUUAGGAAUGCACUCAGCUGACGUCACGAAGCCCAUUUACCUACUUUUCGGAUCCACAUGGAAAACAAAAUGAUUUCCCAACACCCCGGGGAAAUUUGCUUCUAUAAACACACGUUCGAUUGCGAAGAGAUGCCUCUUCCCGAACUUUAUAAAAAGUAUUUUCCCGGGUACCGGGGCCAAUGUUGUUUUAACCCACAAAAACUGAAACAUGUGUGGAUUUCUCGAUUCUUUCCACUCCUCAGAGCAAAUUGCAGCGCAGACGGACACAUGGAACAAACCGAACAAAUGUGGGCGAACACGUUUUUAUCGCAGCUAACGAAAUGCAAUAAAUGUUGAUUAAAAUAAACACACACUGCGGAGAAAGGAACUUGAAAUAAUGAAGUUAAAUUUAAAACGCAGUAUAGUGCCACUUAAAAGAAGAAGCCCAUCUCGUGAAUUCUUCAGAACAAAGUUGUUGGAUCUGCCCUUUGUUUAUACUAGAUACUAAAUAUUACUGAUUGGAGAUCGGUUUCUUUCAGUGCACAUGCGAGUGAAAUACACAUAAAGAAGUGGCAGCCACACCAAAAUGAAGACAACCAGCGUUAUCAGUGGAGAAUAAAAGAAACUGCACCAAAUACAAAUAAAGGGGGAGUCGUAAAAACCAGAAAUAAUUAAUGAAAUUUGUGCUGAUGAAUGCAGCUCGUGGUAUCUUAUCGGACACAAGGAGUGGAGUGGAGUGGAGUUCUUAUCGAGUGAACAGAAACCAGAACGGAAGCCUCACAAAGCGGGCCAGUUUCGAGAGAAAGAAGCUUAGCUUUAAGGACUCUGACCUUUUGUCGUUUUCUAUUUCGGGACAUUCCACAGCUAGCGCAUCUCUCUCUGCUCUCGGCCAUUGUGUUUAAUGACCUUUAAAAGCCACGCACAGACAGGUCACCGGAAUAUGGCAGACAUGCAGGCGGGGGGCCGCCCACGUCCACGCCCACUUUAGCGCCCCUCGCCGAGAGGAGAAGGCCAAACAGAAAUAAAACAACAAAUAAAAACAACACUUCAAACAAGACACACAUCACAAUUCAUAUUCUCAUGCCUGCUGCCAUUUUUGCUGAUUUUGCUUUGGGUUCGUCGCCGCUUUUCUUGGCAGCCAGUGUUGUGUGUGUGCCCCAUCUUAAUCAUCGUUUUCAUCAUCAUUAUCAUUUGAAUCCACAUUAUCGCCAUCUUCAAGCUGUCUGCUGCAGCGCAGAUACAAACACACACACACACACAGCGAUCCAGAUACAUGCGGCUCGCAUAGAUACAAAAGCACGCAUGGUGUUGCUCUGCUCGCUUCUGCCUGCCGCCUUUUAAUAAAGUAAACUAAACAAUUUU